rnacentral:sRNA from 1 species
GGAUGAAUAUAGUGUACAUGAGUAUCUAUUCCUCCAGCAGUUAAUAUUCUUCCCUCUCCUGCUAAUGCUUCAGUCCCAACCCCUACUAUAAAGUCAACGUUAUCCAUUGUAUCAGGAUUUCCACCUUUACCAAUAGCAAGAAUUUUACCAUCUUUAAUUCCUACAUCAGCCUUAUAAAUUCCUGUGUAGUCAACAAUUGUUGCUCCUGUUAUUAUUAAAUCUGCUAAUUGUGGAUUUUUACUAGUUUGUGUGGCAUUUUGCCCCAUACCAUCUCU